UUGGAAUUGAAACCACGGAAUUCCCAAAUCCAAACUGCAACUUUCUCUCAGCCUCUCAAUCUUCGACUCUCCGCUCAUCCCUGAGUCUCUCGCGACCUCCCUGACUCGACACCUCAACGGCUGAUGCCUUCCAUCGACAGAAGAAGAAGGUUAAGAAGGAAGGUCCUUCGUCCAUUCGUUUCUCGGCCUCUUCGUCUGAUAAGUGCUAAGUGGUUCCGCGUGCAUGUGAGAGGGGGUAAACAAUUUGGUACACCUUUGAAUGUACAAAUAGAAUUAUACAAAAUUGUAUUGUAAAUUUCCGUGAUCCUCAACUUCUUUUUUCAAUCCCUCAGAUGAAUGCCAGAUUUAGAGACAACAUUAAUCAUCAUUUUGAGUUCAACAGAAACAUCUAAAUAGUGUUGUACUGGGAUUGAAUGUGCAGUGGUUCUUUCAAGGCUUCACGGAUUUUAGUUGUUUUCUAGCUGCAAUGUAUUUCCAAUAAGAGCAUACUUGGAUGUGGUUAGAAGUUAUGUAACUACUACUUUCUAGAAAUUAAGUUUUUCGGUCAAAAGAGUAUCUUUGCUAAACCACAAUUGCACAAAAAAAACCUAUAUUUGCAUUUACAUAACUUUUUCUCUAAUAUAUCUUUGUUUUGUUCAGUGUUGGAUAGUAUCUUUGCCUACAAUGGGCAAAGAGUGGCUGAAAAACAUUAUCAUCUAAAAUUAGAUAUUAUGGAUCUAGAUAUCAAAAAAAUAAAAAUAAAAAAGGAAAAAAAGUAUAAUGAUCAUAAAGUUUUUGUUGUAGAUUUUUGGGACAAUAUAGAGAUGAAGCCAGGAAUUUUGUUAAAUGAGCUUGUGAAAAUUACAAUUUAGAAAUGAAAGUAUGCCCCUGUGUUCCUUAGUCACAUAGGAUGUUUGAGGACUUUUAUAUGCAACAUUAUAUGGAUCUGAAAACCCUCUUGAUGGGAGAGCGAAAGAGAUUGAAAAUUUAGUUGAUGAUGUUGAAACGCCUUUAUAUCCUGGUUGUAAGGUGCUCACGAAAAUGUUAGCUUUUGUUUCUAUAUUUAAGGAUAAAGUUUCAGAUGGUUUAUCGGACAGUGGUUUCAAUGAACUCAUAUAUCUUGUUCGAGACAUGUUGCCAAAGAAUAAUACACUUCCAAACACAUUUUAUAUGAUGAAAAACUUGUCAAUACAUUUGAUCUUGGCUAUGAGAAGAUACAUGUUUGUGUGAAUGAUUGUUGUCUAUGUAGAAAAGAGCUUGAACGGGUUUAAUUAUGUCCAAAAUGUGGCUGGUCAAGAGGGAAAGUUAACCAAUGAACUAAAAAAUUCAGAAGAAAAUUCCAGCAAAAGUUGCGUUAUUUUCCUAUAAUACCACGACUUUAGAGGAUAUUCGAAAUAUAAGAGAUGGCAAUACAAUUGAGAUGCAAUCAAUUAAUAAAAUUUCAGAUGGUAAAAUUAAGCAUUUAGUUGAUUCAUUGAAUUGGGAAAUAAUUAACAGGAGGUGUCCACAUUUUGCAUCAGAUCCUCCAAAGAUUAGAGCUGGCUACGUAUGGAUUUAAUCUUUUCAAAAAUCUUAGCUCUAAAUAUAGUUGUUGGCCACUAAUUUUAACUAUAUAUAACUUGUCUUCCUCAUUAUGCAUGUCAAAGGAAAGUUUGAUGCCAAGUUUAUUGAUCUCGAAACCAAAGCGGACAGGCAAUGACAUAUAUGUUUAUUUGGACUACUUGUAGACGACUUAUUAUUGUUAUGGAGUGAUGAAGCUGAGAUGUAUGAUGCAAUCACAAAGUCUACAUUUAAUUUAAAAGCUAUUUUGAUGUAGACAAUACAUGACUUCCCCACACAUGGAAAUAUAUCUGGAUGGCUCAUUAAGGGAAAAAUUGUUUGCCAUAUUUGUCAUGAUCAUUAUGGUUGAUGCAUGGUAGGACAUUUCCGUACAUGACACAGAGAAGAUUUCUCACCUUCAAUCAUCAAUUUUGCAUGAAAGGAAGCUGGUGCAAGGGACAUAUUGAAAUAGGUAUUAGGCCGAAGAUAACAAAUGAUGAAGAAGAUUCUAUUGAAGUUGAUACAAUUACAAAUGAUUGGGUAAAAAUGGUAAACGAAAGAGGAAGAAGAAUAUAACUCAAUCUAAUGUAACGAGAAAGAAAAAGUGUAUAUUUGUCAAUCUAUCAUAUUGGAAGGUAAUUGUUGUAAUAUUUAAUAAUUCUACUUUCAUGUACUUAAUAUAACACCAUGGAGGUUUGAUUUGCAGAUUUUAUUUAUAUGUCAUAAUUUGGAUGUGAUACAUGUGAAGAAGAUAUAUGUGUAGUAACGUAAGGAUUUGAAAA